UACGUAGGGUGCAAGCGCUAAUCGGAAUUACUGGGCGUAAAGCGUGCGCAGGCGGUUUUGUAAGACAGGUGUGAAAUCCCCGGGCUUAACCUGGGAACUGCAUUUGUGACUGCAAAGCUGGAGUGCGGCAGAGGGGGAUGGAAUUCCGCGUGUAGCAGUGAAAUGCGUAGAUAUGCGGAGGAACACCGAUGGCGAAGGCAAUCCCCUGGGCCUGCACUGACGCUCAUGCACGAAAGCGUGGGGAGCAAACAGG
rnacentral:rRNA from 1 species